GACGAACGCUGGCGGCGUGCCUAAUACAUGCAAGUAGGACGCAGUUGCGAACGGGUGAGUAACGCGUAGGUAACUACCUAUUAGAGGGGGAUAACUAUUGGAAACGAUAGCUAAUACCGCAUACUAGUAGAUGGACCUGCGUUGUAUUAGCUAGUAGGUAGGGUAAUGGCCUACCUAGGCAACGAUACAUAGCCGACCUGAGAGGGGGAACGGGCAAACUGGGACCGGGGAACCGCCCAGACCCCUUCGGGAGGGAGCAGGAGGGGAACUUUGGCAAAGGGGGGAACCCUGACCGAGCAACGCCGCGUGAGUGGAGAAGGGUUUUGGGUCGUAAAGCUCUGUUGUUAAGGAAGCGGUACUUAACCAGAAAGGGACGGCUAACUACGUGCCAGCCGCCGCGGUAAUAC
rnacentral:rRNA from 1 species